UUCCUACGGGAGGCAGCAGUGGGGAAUAUUGCACAAUGGGCGAAAGCCUGAUGCAGCAACGCCGCGUGAGUGAUGAAGGCUUUCGAGUCGUAAAGCUCUUUGAUCAGGGAUGAUAAUGACAGUACCUGAAAAACAAGCCACGGCUAACUACGUGCCAGCAGCCGCGGUAAUACGUAGGUGGCGAGCGUUGUCCGGAAUUACUGGGCGUAAAGGAUGCGUAGGUGGAUAUUUAAGUGGGAUGUGAAAUCCCCGGGCUCAACCCGGGAACUGCAUUCCAAACUGGAUAUCUAGAGUGCAGGAGAGGAAAGCGGAAUUCCUAGUGUAGCGGUGAAAUGCGUAGAUAUUAGGAGGAACACCAGUGGCGAAGGCGGCUUUCUGGACUGUAACUGACACUGAGGCAUGAAAGCGUGGGUAGCAAACAGGAUUAGAUACCCUGGUAGUCCACGCCGUAAACGAUGGGUACUAGGUGUAGGAGGUAUCGACCCCUUCUGUGCCGUCGUUAACACAAUAAGUACCCCGCCUGGGGAGUACGGUCGCAAGACUAAAACUCAAAGGAAUUGACGGAA
rnacentral:rRNA from 1 species